rnacentral:lncRNA from 1 species
GUGGGUGGGCGCGCGGGGCUGUAGGAUCCACCCGCCUCGGGAUCCACGGAGCUGGGUCCCCGCCGCGCCCCGCGGACCCCACGGCCCUUCCGCUCCGCUCGGCCUCCACCACCCUGGCCUCGAGCUGCAGCCGUUCCAAGGACAACGGCCAUCCCUGUGGCUGGGCCGCCGGCUACGCAAUGCUGUCUCUCUUGCUGAUCCUCUCAGGCCUGGGCCGGCUGACCUCCGCGGGCCCACGCCACUUAUUCCAUCAAAAUUGAGGGGAAACCAUACACUUCCUGCUUGAAAAACAGUCAUUUUUACACCCACAUUUCCUGGUGUAUUUAUACAACAAAUCAGGAACAUUGUAUGCAGAUUCUUCAUUUUCAAAGGGUCAUUGCUUUUACCAAGGAUAUGCUGCAGACAUUCCAAAAUCAGUUGUGGCACUACGCACCUGUUCUGGACUCAGAGGAUUACUGCAGUUAGAUAAUAUCAGUUAUGGUAUUGAACCAUUGGAAUCUUCACCUACAUAUAAGCAUGUAGUUUAUCGAAUUAAAAAUGAUGCUAUUGGUCAUUCCUCCUUUCAAGAAAAUUAUCCUGUGGCUCAAUAUAUAGAUCAGUCCUACAGGAUUCUUGUCAAAUCAGACAUAAAUUCAGGUGCCAUGCUAUCGAAAAGAACUCUGAAAAUACAAAUCAUUAUGGAUAAAGCCAUGUAUGCUUAUAUGGGCUCCACGGUGGCAGUUGCAGUUGAGAAAGUUUUCCAAAUCUUUGGUCUUAUCAACACUAUGUUUUCCCAGCUUAAUAUGACAGUUAUGCUGUCUUCCUUGGAGAUCUGGUCAGAUCAAAAUAAGAUUUCAACAAGUGGUCAUGCUGAUGAAAUACUACAGCGAUUUUUGCCUUGGAAACAAAAAUUUUUGUUUCAAAGGUCUCAUGAUAUGACAUACUUAUUAAUUUAUAGGAACCAUUCUACUUAUGUGGGAGCAACAUAUCACGGAAUGGCAUGCGAUCCAAAGUUUGCAACAGGAAUUGCUCUGUAUCCAAAGAAAAUCACUGCAGAGGCCUUUUCAGUUGUUAUGGCACAGUUGCUUGGAAUUAAUCUGGGAUUGACAUAUGAUGAUAUCUACAAUUGUUACUGUCCAGGAACUACAUGCAUAAUGAAUCCUGAUGCGAUAUGAUCCCAUGGUAUGAAGUUUUUUAGCAGUUGCAGCAUGGAUGGAUUUAAACGGAUAGUUCUGCAGCCUGAACUUAAAUGUUUUCAGGAUAAAACAGUUUCAAAAAUGACUUACCGAAAAUCUUCAACUUGUGGCAAUGGAAUUUUGGAACCUACAGAGCAGUGUGAUUGUGGCUAUAAAGAGAGACAGGAUUUCACCAUGUUGGCCAGGCUAGUCUCAAACUUCGGACCUCAGGUUAUCCACCUGCCUCAGCCUCUCAAGGUGCUGGGAUUACAAACCCACAAGGAGUCCCUUGGGGAAGACUGCCAAUAUGUCUGUUAGGGGAUACUUUAAGAACCUGUAAAAUCAACACAAGUUAUUUACUUAAAAGCACAGCAUACACAACCCCAUUUUGAAAAGGAGAAAUAGACAAGAAGAAAUGGGUAACAGGCCUCAAGCAAGUCUGAAACCCAAGAGAGCCAAUGAUGGACAUUCAGACUCCUGAAUAAUUUCCUUUGAUGACAUGUCCUGCAUCUUCUAUAAACAGGCAUGCACUCAUAAAAAAUGCUGUAAUCCUGCAGAUUGUACUCUAGUUAGAUCUGCAGAAUGUGGCACUGGAUCAUGCUGUAACAAUAAAACUUGUACGAUCCACGAAAGAGGCCAUGUCUGCAGAAAAAGUGUAGAUAUGUGUGAUUUUCCAGAAUAUUGCAAUGGAACAUCUGAGUUUUGUGUACCUGAUGUGAAAGCUGCUGAUUUAGAAUACUGCAGUAAUAAGACUAGCUAUUGCUUUAAAGGAGUAUGCAGAGAAAGGGAUAGACAGUGUUCACAGUUAUUUGGAAAAUUUGCUAAGUCUGCUAAUCUUCUGUGUACAGAAGAAGUGAAUUUUCAAAAUGACAAAUUUGGAAACUGUGGUUCCCGUUGUGAUUUUUUUGAUAUCCUUUGUGGAAAGAUUGUUUGUCACUGGAUACAUUCAGAACUAGUACCAAUGACAGACUUAGACAUACAAUAUACUUACCUUAGAGGUCACGUAUGUUUGUCCGCACAUGCAAGAAAUGGUUCAAAACAAUCGGAGACCUAUACAGAAGAUAUAACUGCAUGUGGCCAACACAAGGUAUGUCACUCCCGAGAAUGCAGAAAUUUUAGUGAACUAAAUAUAACAAAAUAUACUACAAAUUGUGGACAGAAUGGGAUUUGCAAUGAACAUUUCCAUUGUCAAUGUGAUCCUGGUUAUGCUCCUCCAGAUUGUGAGCCAGCAAUGUCAUCACCAGGAGGAAGUAUCAAUGAUGGAUUUUGGCUUACAGUAGAAAAAAGUGUACCCUUGCUUCCAAAACGACGUGCUGCUCCUAAAAACAAUGGUCUUUUGAUCAGUUUCUACAUUUUUUCACCUUUGCUCAUUUUAAUUGCUAUUGUUAGUCUUAAAUGGAAUAAAAUGAAGAGAUUUCGGAGCAAAGUGGGAACAGUAAGCAGCAGAUCUAUCUCAGAAGACAGCGGUAGUAACAGCAGCCAGUCACAGAGUUAAAGUAACCAAGUGAUAAAAUCAAAGCCAUCGGAUGAAGAAAGGAUAUUACCAAGAAACUCACCAUUAACUUAAAACUUUCAACUUCACAGAAAAAAAUAAAUCAUAUGACUAAAAGCAUA